rnacentral:rRNA from 1 species
UGAGGAAUAUUGGUCAAUGGCCGCAGGGCUGAACCAGCCAAGUCGCGUGAGGGAUGACGGUCCUAUGGAUUGUAAACCUCUUUUGUCAGGGAGCAAAGGGCGCCACGUGUGGCGCUUUGCGAGUACCUGAAGAAAAAGCAUCGGCUAACUCCGUGCCAGCAGCCGCGGUAAUACGGAGGAUGCGAGCGUUAUCCGGAUUUAUUGGGUUUAAAGGGUGCGCAGGCGGAAUGUCAAGUCAGCGGUAAAAUUUCGGGGCUCAACCCCGUCGUGCCGUUGAAACUGGCGUUCUUGAGUGAGCGAGAA